CAUUUUGUGUUUAGCCACAUCCCAGCGGCAGCCAUUUUGUGCAUGGCACCCACAACGCUUUCCAAAUGUGACUCGAAAAGAUGGGCCACCUCAGCCAUGAGGCCACCUUCAUGGGCCCAGAGAAAAGAGCAGAGGCUUAAGGCACCGCCAGACACCAAUUUGAAAGCUGCCAAGAUCAAUAGACUAGUGCUCAGGGUGGCAGAUUUAUUGCUAAAACAACAAACUAGGACAGAGCUCCUCUACCCAUCGUCCUGCCCAGAAGAUGGAGCUCCUCCCCC